AUAGAACAGAGUAUACUACCUCUACAUCCCUCGGUCUCACCUCUUUCAAAUCUCAUCUCAGUACCUUCACUCUCUUUUUUCACCUCAGCUCAUUCUCGCUCAAUCCUCAUCUCACUUUUUCCACUCUCUCAUGUGCAUCUCAACCGACUGCAAUCUUCAUUUUCGAGGCAAUUAGGGCUCUUUCUUGAGGCUUGAAGUUGGGGCUUUUACUUGGGAAAUUCAUUUAAGUCUUCGGGUAGCACCACUAAUCUUCAACAAGGUGGAAAUUCUCGUAUUCCGUUUUCAAUUAAGGAUGGAAGAUGAUUUAGUGCAUAUUAGGUUUAUCACAAGGGGAAAUUUCAGAAAAAUCGAUAUGUAGGUGGAGAAGAGCUAGCCCAGUAUCAUAAUCCAGAGUUUUUUUGUCGUUGUCAUAUACCAGGGUCCAAAGUUUAAGGUAGUUGAUUUAUCAAUGUUCAGGGGAAGCUCAUCCUCUCCUCAGACCUAAACAAGUAUAUCGCAACCCAGAUAGUCAAAAAUUUAGAUACAAUUAGAAGCUGAAAUUCUGUUCUGUUAUUUAAUGUAGAUGCAUCGAAAUCUGAAACCAAGCUGCUUAAAGAGGACUUUAAAUGAAAUGGAAUUGGUAUCACAAUCUCUUUGCUAGGGUUUAAUUGCAAAAGAAGCUGAACAUCAGAAAGAAGGUAAAAGCGUGGAUAAAUCAAAAAACACUACUAAGCAAAAUACUGGAGCUUCCCGUUGGUGCUCAGAGUAUAGGAGAUUCAUCUGUCUAAAAGGAUAUCCCCAGUACUUUUAAAGUUUCAGCAAUUGUCAGUGUGCUAUUUUGGUUUAAUCUAUGUUUCGAAGUAGGAGUACGGUUUUGAAACUAGUUAAGGGUUGCUUGCUGAUGUUGGAUGAUAGUUAAAUUGUUCUUCUAGAAGCAUGUGUAGUUAAGUUAAGGGUGGAGGGUAAUGCUGGUGUAAAUUGCUUGGCUUGGUAUUGACUAUUGACUGGUUUGUAUUUGAAUGAUUGUGUAAUCAUAUUUGUAUUUAACAUUUUGGGCAAUCCAAUUUACAAGCAUUUCCUGUCAA